AUUGAACGCUGGCGGCAGGCCUAACACAUGCAAGUCGAGCGGAUGAAGGGAGCUUGCUCCUGGAUUCAGCGGCGGACGGGUGAGUAAUGCCUAGGAAUCUGCCUGGUAGUAGGGGAUAACGUCCGGAAACGGGCGCUAAUACCGCAUACGUCCUGAGGGAGAAAGUGGGGGAUCUUCGGACCUCACGCUAUCAGAUGAGCCUAGGUCGGAUUAGCUAUUUGGUGGGGUAAAGGCCUACCAAGGCGACGAUCCGUAACUGGUCUGAGAGGAUGAUCAGUCACACUGGAACUGAGACACGGUCCAGACUCCUACGGGAGGCAGCAGUGGGGAAUAUUGGACAAUGGGCGAAAGCCUGAUCCAGCCAUGCCGCGUGUGUGAAGAAGGUCUUCGGAUUGUAAAGCACUUUAAGUUGGGAGGAAGGGCAGUAAGUUAAUACCUUGCUGUUUUGACGUUACCAACAGAAUAAGCACCGGCUAACUUCGUG
rnacentral:rRNA from 1 species